GCCCAUGCAGUCACAGGGAGAAUGUGCAAACCCCUUAUCGGGAAUUGUACUCAUGUUGCCGGUGCUGUAAAAUGUUGAAGCGCCAGCAUUGUUUAUUCUUCUCUAUAGGUGCCGCUUGCUGAAUUUCCCCAGUAUCUUGUGCGUGUAACUCAGGACACGAUUCCUGCGGAUCUGGCUUCACCGAGUGGCUGUGAUGUAAAUACAAUUUCCAGCAUCUGCAGAAUUCCUGUUGUUGACUGGGUAGGUUAGUGUUUUACAGAAUGUGUGGGCGUCAUGGGUGAAGCUAGUCCGCACCUUUUGUUUCAGAGCGUGGUGGUGAGCUGCCUUCAUACACCAGCACUGUUACGCUCACAGGGCUGAUGGUUACAGGAUUUGGAUGCAGUAAUAUCUAUUAAAACUCAAUAGGCCCAUAAAUUUAUCUUCAUCUUUCUCACUAGCUCUCUACUCAAUGCUGUUUUGUAUGAAAGUUUCUGCCUCCUCUACCAGACCAGCAUUCUAAGCUGUUCCCUUGGAAACAACUUGCUUCAUUCUUUCAUUUCCAAUUAUUUCUGGAGAAACAAAGAACUGGAAAACUGGAGAAAUUGAAUGACAUAAGGAAUACCAUGCAAGGCAAAAGCAGAGUUGAUCCAAAGAGAAACCAGAGAAGACCCCACACUGUCUCAGAUCUACAUGACUACUGAACAUAGCUCAAAUGCACAGCAGAAAUUCCAGCUCCCCCAAUUUCACUCGCACCGGGAUGAACUUGCCUGUGACCAAAGUUGCCUUAUGUGGGAAUUGAGAGUUGUUGUUCCAUCCAAGCUGAGAGCUAAAGUGUUGGAGGAACUACAUGCCCGUCAAAAUGAAAUCAUUGGCUUGAAGCUUUGUCUGGUGGCCUGGGAUGGAUCAGCAGAUUGAACAGCUUGCUGUGCACGGUUCAGGAUGCCAAUACGUCCAGAGAAAAGGUGUCCACAGCUAUCAGAAUCACUUUUCUGCAGUCCCACAGUCAACUCCUACAACCUCCACGGAGGAGCCCCCAGAGUUGAGAUGCAUUCUACAUUAAGUGGAGUAAAUAGUGGAGAGCAGUAUCAGGCAUCCCACAUUAUCAAAAUUGGAAAACAAUUAUCUAAGUGUUCUUGAAGGUCAGCAGAGAGGUUGCCCUUUAUGAAGCUGAUAUCUUGAUGAUGAGAAAUUGAAGAAACGACUGAAAGCUCUUGUUAACACUUGAGGCUGUGCCUAGGCACGUGGCUCAUACACUAUUGCAGUUCGGGGGCGAAGUGAAGAUUACGUUGACUCAGUUAUCUCUGUUACCUUUGUAAGGGGGUUUCAUCUUUUAUGUUACUGUGUAGGCUAAUUAAAAUGGCUUCUUUGUUAUGUUAUACUUGGGAAUGCUUCUUUGUUAUGUUAAACGCUGAGAAAGUUCUUGCGCUAGCAACUCGUUUUGGGCUAGUGUGAUAAGAAUAUGUUACGAACCAAUUGGGAUAGUUGUUAUGUUUUUGGUGUAUCUGAAGGUAUUGUAUGCACGGGGUUUUGGGGGAGAAGGCGGGAGAGAGAGACAGAGGAUGGACCAGGUGCUGUGAGUCCGUUAAUGGGGUCGGACCCCGAGCGGGGCGUUCAACGAGGAGAGGAGACAGCGACGGACUCGUGUGGAGCAUCUGGUCGACCACUGUUGUUGGUCCCAGGCGGCCGGUCGAGGUGGUCCGAGGGGUCACAGGUGAAGAAGGGUCCUGAGCUCCAACUGUUUGUGCACGAAGAGAUUGAACUUUGAUAAGUAUGGUGCCUUUGAUUUUCCUUUUAUAUUUUAUUCUCUAUUAGUUAUAUAGUUCCAGUAAUAUCU